GGAAUGUGUGCUAGAAGAACCUAUAGGCUUGACUUAGAUUGACCAAAACUUCCUGAGAUCUAUCUCGAGAUUUAGAGUAUUUCAUCAAGUAGUAUACACGAGAGCAUUUGACUCCAAAAAUUAGAUAUUGCAAAGUAAAUUUGAGUUUAGAAAUAAGUUGGGUUAGAAUCAGAUGUCCUUUCAUUCCUUAUAUGUCUGAAGUUAGAAAAAGCCAAAUCAUUGAAAACAAUAAGUGCUGAUUCAAUUCUUAUUACACUGAAAUGAGUAAAAAGAUGUGCUCAGCCCCUUCUUGCUUAGGUGAUUCAUGCACAUCCAUCAGGAUUUACCAAGUGUCAUCCCCAAGCUGAUUAGAUUUCACUCCUUUGCACUGAUAUAGCUCUCUGUGCAUAUCUCGGUCCCCUGGAAAGCUAUAAGCUCUUUGAUAUCAGGGCUUAUGUUUUCAUUGUUGUAUCUUCAGAAGUAGGUGCUGUUUGAGGUUCUGUUGAAUGACAAUGUGAAAAUCACAUUCCUGAUGGUGGCCGGUCUUUGUGCCGUCAAGCUCAAGACUGCAGCCAUGUGACAAUGUAACGAAGUAAGGUCAAAUGAGUGAUAUCAAUGAAACUUGUACUCAUCAUAAAAUAUCUGAGUGCCUAAAAAUGGAUGAAAUGUAAACUUGUCUAGAAAUCCCAGGUUGAGUUUGUAUCGCUUCCCAACGAAUAAAUUUUUCUUAGUUUAUUUAAUUCAAUGACUUCCAUUUAAUGGCUUAAAAAAAUGACUUGAAAGGAUGCGUUCCCAUAGAUUGACUCAAAUACUAGCUCUAAAAGACACAGGCAACUGAAAAGUAAGAGAUAUGGUUGAAUGACCCAAGCUAAGAGUGGUCUCAGGGUCAGAGGCAGUGAUAAGUAAAGAUAAGAAACAGAUUCUGUGUGCUCAGAAACACAUGGCCAGGAGACAUAGUGCCAAGCAUGGAAAAUACCAUCUGUAGGCAGAUUAUAGAAGUUUAGAGACAGAGGGGACCUUGGAAAGGAUCUAGUCUCCCUCCUUAUAGGAAUGAAACCCAUAGAGGGUGAGUGACGGGCCCCAGACCUCAUAUGGGUCAUGGAAUAACCAAGGCUAGAAAUAAAAUCUCCCGGUUCCCUGUUUUGUAUUCCUUCCAUUACAACACUGUUUCCCAGUUCCCUCAGCUUUUAGCUUUCAAAAAUAACUUGUUUUCUUAGUGCAUGGAACGCCCUACCCUGAUGCUCCAACUUCUUUGUCUAAGACUGAAAAACAGGACAGUCCUCAGUUGAUACUCCUCAGUCAGUGUUAGGUGGAAAUCAAGAGAAACCUAUGUAUGAAAUGGAAGCUCUGGGUACAUCUGCUCUUUGAUAACACGGAUCACUCAAUGGAGACACUAAAUGAGAUGAAUGGGACAGAAAAUGUGAGAUUCACAGAUAGCACACAUUUCAUCCAGGCUAGCUGCUAGGAAGAGUUUAUAAACUGUGGCACCUAGGAAGGGAUGCAGCUCUGUAGCACGAAAUAUGGCCACAGGGUGUGGAGCUUUUCCACCCAGCCAGUGCCUGUGCAAGGAUUACCCCGGUCAACUCUUAAUGGAGUACAGUGGAGAGCCAGGGAUUAGGAAAGAGUAAAAUUUCAGUCCAGCCAUUUUGGAGGUCUCUCUUUCCAUCAGUCACUUUUCAACUUUCCUCAGUUAGCCAAAUGCAUUGGAAUCCUAGUUAUAGAAAUGAAUAAACAGAAGUAGCUCAAGAAAGAUAAGGGGCCAGGGGCGGUGGCUCAUGCCUAUAAUCCCAGCACUUUGGAAGGCUGGUCUCGAACUCCUGGGCUCAAGCAGUCAGCCCGCCUCAGCCCCCCAAAGUGCUGGGAUUACAGUCGUAAGUUAGCAUGCCAGGCCUGUCUCUGAAAUUUUAAGAGUGAAUAGCUUGAGUCAGAAGCUCUUGAGUAAAAAGAAGUUGCACUUUAAAAAAAAAAAAAAAAA
ensembl:lncRNA